UUAAGCGACUAAGCGUACACGGUGGAUGCCCUGGCAGUCAGAGGCGAUGAAGGACGUGCUAAUCUGCGAUAAGCGUCGGUAAGGUGAUAUGAACCGUUAUAACCGGCGAUUUCCGAAUGGGGAAACCCAGUGUGAUUCGUCACACUAUCAUUAACUGAAUCCAUAGGUUAAUGAGGCGAACCGGGGGAACUGAAACAUCUAAGUACCCCGAGGAAAAGAAAUCAACCGAGAUUCCCCCAGUAGCGGCGAGCGAACGGGGAGCAGCCCAGAGCCUGAAUCAGUGUGUGUGUUAGUGGAAGCGUCUGGAAAGGCGCGCGAUACAGGGUGACAGCCCCGUACACAAAAAUGCACAUACUGUGAGCUCGAUGAGUAGGGCGGGACACGUGGUAUCCUGUCUGAAUAUGGGGGGACCAUCCUCCAAGGCUAAAUACUCCUGACUGACCGAUAGUGAACCAGUACCGUGAGGGAAAGGCGAAAAGAACCCCGGCGAGGGGAGUGAAAAAGAACCUGAAACCGUGUACGUACAAGCAGUGGGAGCACGCUUAGGCGUGUGACUGCGUACCUUUUGUAUAAUGGGUCAGCGACUUAUAUUCUGUAGCAAGGUUAACCGAAUAGGGGAGCCGAAGGGAAACCGAGUCUUAACUGGGCGUUAAGUUGCAGGGUAUAGACCCGAAACCCGGUGAUCUAGCCAUGGGCAGGUUGAAGGUUGGGUAACACUAACUGGAGGACCGAACCGACUAAUGUUGAAAAAUUAGCGGAUGACUUGUGGCUGGGGGUGAAAGGCCAAUCAAACCGGGAGAUAGCUGGUUCUCCCCGAAAGCUAUUUAGGUAGCGCCUCGUGAAUUCAUCUCCGGGGGUAGAGCACUGUUUCGGCAAGGGGGUCAUCCCGACUUACCAACCCGAUGCAAACUGCGAAUACCGGAGAAUGUUAUCACGGGAGACACACGGCGGGUGCUAACGUCCGUCGUGAAGAGGGAAACAACCCAGACCGCCAGCUAAGGUCCCAAAGUCAUGGUUAAGUGGGAAACGAUGUGGGAAGGCCCAGACAGCCAGGAUGUUGGCUUAGAAGCAGCCAUCAUUUAAAGAAAGCGUAAUAGCUCACUGGUCGAGUCGGCCUGCGCGGAAGAUGUAACGGGGCUAAACCAUGCACCGAAGCUGCGGCAGCGACGCUUAUGCGUUGUUGGGUAGGGGAGCGUUCUGUAAGCCUGCGAAGGUGUGCUGUGAGGCAUGCUGGAGGUAUCAGAAGUGCGAAUGCUGACAUAAGUAACGAUAAAGCGGGUGAAAAGCCCGCUCGCCGGAAGACCAAGGGUUCCUGUCCAACGUUAAUCGGGGCAGGGUGAGUCGACCCCUAAGGCGAGGCCGAAAGGCGUAGUCGAUGGGAAACAGGUUAAUAUUCCUGUACUUGGUGUUACUGCGAAGGGGGGACGGAGAAGGCUAUGUUGGCCGGGCGACGGUUGUCCCGGUUUAAGCGUGUAGGCUGGUUUUCCAGGCAAAUCCGGAAAAUCAAGGCUGAGGCGUGAUGACGAGGCACUACGGUGCUGAAGCAACAAAUGCCCUGCUUCCAGGAAAAGCCUCUAAGCAUCAGGUAACAUCAAAUCGUACCCCAAACCGACACAGGUGGUCAGGUAGAGAAUACCAAGGCGCUUGAGAGAACUCGGGUGAAGGAACUAGGCAAAAUGGUGCCGUAACUUCGGGAGAAGGCACGCUGAUAUGUAGGUGAAGCGACUUGCUCGUGGAGCUGAAAUCAGUCGAAGAUACCAGCUGGCUGCAACUGUUUAUUAAAAACACAGCACUGUGCAAACACGAAAGUGGACGUAUACGGUGUGACGCCUGCCCGGUGCCGGAAGGUUAAUUGAUGGGGUUAGCGCAAGCGAAGCUCUUGAUCGAAGCCCCGGUAAACGGCGGCCGUAACUAUAACGGUCCUAAGGUAGCGAAAUUCCUUGUCGGGUAAGUUCCGACCUGCACGAAUGGCGUAAUGAUGGCCAGGCUGUCUCCACCCGAGACUCAGUGAAAUUGAACUCGCUGUGAAGAUGCAGUGUACCCGCGGCAAGACGGAAAGACCCCGUGAACCUUUACUAUAGCUUGACACUGAACAUUGAGCCUUGAUGUGUAGGAUAGGUGGGAGGCUUUGAAGUGUGGACGCCAGUCUGCAUGGAGCCGACCUUGAAAUACCACCCUUUAAUGUUUGAUGUUCUAACGUUGACCCGUAAUCCGGGUUGCGGACAGUGUCUGGUGGGUAGUUUGACUGGGGCGGUCUCCUCCUAAAGAGUAACGGAGGAGCACGAAGGUUGGCUAAUCCUGGUCGGACAUCAGGAGGUUAGUGCAAUGGCAUAAGCCAGCUUGACUGCGAGCGUGACGGCGCGAGCAGGUGCGAAAGCAGGUCAUAGUGAUCCGGUGGUUCUGAAUGGAAGGGCCAUCGCUCAACGGAUAAAAGGUACUCCGGGGAUAACAGGCUGAUACCGCCCAAGAGUUCAUAUCGACGGCGGUGUUUGGCACCUCGAUGUCGGCUCAUCACAUCCUGGGGCUGAAGUAGGUCCCAAGGGUAUGGCUGUUCGCCAUUUAAAGUGGUACGCGAGCUGGGUUUAGAACGUCGUGAGACAGUUCGGUCCCUAUCUGCCGUGGGCGCUGGAGAAUUGAGGGGGGCUGCUCCUAGUACGAGAGGACCGGAGUGGACGCAUCACUGGUGUUCGGGUUGUCAUGCCAAUGGCACUGCCCGGUAGCUAAAUGCGGAAGAGAUAAGUGCUGAAAGCAUCUAAGCACGAAACUUGCCCCGAGAUGAGUUCUCCCUGACUCCUUGAGAGUCCUGAAGGAACGUUGAAGACGACGACGUUGAUAGGCCGGGUGUGUAAGCGCAGCGAUGCGUUGAGCUAACCGGUACUAAUGAACCGUGAGGCUUAACCUU
rnacentral:rRNA from 1 species